rnacentral:rRNA from 1 species
GACGUAGGGCGCGAGCGUUGUCCGGAUUUAUUGGGCGUAAAGAGCUCGUAGGCGGCUUGUCGCGUCGACUGUGAAAUCCCGCGGCUCAACUGCGGGUCUGCAGUCGAUACGGGCAGGCUAGAGUUCGGUAGGGGAGACUGGAAUUCCUGGUGUAGCGGUGAAAUGCGCAGAUAUCAGGAGGAACACCAGUGGCGAAAGCGGCUCUCUGGAACGGUACUGACGCUGAGGUGCGAAAGCGUGGGGAGCAAACAGG